UACGUAGGGGGCGAGCGUUGUCCGGAUUUAUUGGGCGUAAAGAGCUCGUAGGCGGUUUGGUAAGUCGGGUGUGAAAUCUCCACGCUCAACGUGGAGGGGCCACUCGAUACUGCCAUGACUCGAGUCCGGUAGAGGAGUGUGGAAUUCCCGGUGUAGCGGUGAAGUGCGCAGAUAUCGGGAGGAACACCCGUAGCGAAGGCGGCACUCUGGGCCGGAACUGACGCUGAGGAGCGAAAGCGUGGGAGCGAUCCGG
rnacentral:rRNA from 1 species